rnacentral:rRNA from 1 species
UGACCUCAAAUCAGGUAGGACUACCCGCUGAAUUAA